rnacentral:rRNA from 1 species
GACGAACGCUGGCGGCGUGCCUAACACAUGCAAGUCGAACGGAGAUGUUCGCUGAUUUGAAGGAAGCUUGCUUCUGAAUUUUCUUGAACAUCUUAGUGGCGGACGGGUGAGUAACGCGUGGGCAACCUGCCUUUCACAGGGGGAUAACACAGGGAAACUUGUGCUAAAUACCGCAUAAGACCCCAGUAGGACAUCCUACAGAGGCCAAAAGGAGCAAUCCGGUGAAAGAUGGGCCCGCGUCUGAUUAGCUAGUUGGUAGGGUAACGGCUUACCAAGGCGACGAUCAGUAGCCGAACUGAGAGGUUGAUCGGCACAUUGGGACUGAGACACGGCCCAGACUCCUACGGGAGGCAGCAGUGGGGAAUAUUGCACAAUGGGGGAAACCCUGAUGCAGCAACGCCGCGUUGAAGGAUGAACGGCC